rnacentral:rRNA from 1 species
GACGAACGCUGGCGGCGCGCCUAACACAUGCAAGUCGAACGAGCGAGAGAGGAGCUUGCUUUCUCAAGCGAGUGGCGAACGGGUGAGUAACGCGUGAGGAACCUGCCUCAAAGAGGGGGACAACAGUUGGAAACGACUGCUAAUACCGCAUAAGCGCACGUCAUCGCAUGAUGGUGUGUGAAAAACUCCGGUGGUAUGAGAUGGACCCGCGUCUGAUUAGGUAGUUGGUGGGGUAACGGCCCACCAAGCCGACGAUCGGUAGCCGACCUGAGAGGGUGACCGGCCACAUUGGGACUGAGACACGGCCCAA